rnacentral:rRNA from 1 species
UUCCAGACUCCUACGGGAGGCAGCAGUGGGGAAUAUUGCACAAUGGGGGGAACCCUGAUGCAGCGACGCCGCGUGGGUGAAGGAGCACCUCGGUGCGUAAAGCCCUAUCGGCAGGGAAGAAGCAAGACGGUACCUGACUAAGAAGCCCCGGCUAACUACGUGCCAGCAGCCGCGGUAAUACGUAGGGGGCGAGCGUUAUCCGGAUUCAAUGGGUGUAAAGGGAGCGUAGACGGCCAUGCAAGCCAGGGGUGAAAGCCCGGGGCCCAACCCCGGGACUGCCCUUGGAACUGCAUGGCUGGAGUGCGGGAGGGGCAGGCGGAAUUCCUGGUGUAGCGGUGAAAUGCGUAGAUAUCAGGAGGAACACCGGCGGCGAAGGCGGCCUGCUGGACCGCGACUGACGUUGAGGCUCGAAAGCGUGGGGAGCGAACAGGAUUAGAUGCCCGAGUACA